rnacentral:rRNA from 1 species
GGUUAAGCGAAUAAGCGUACACGGUGGAUGCCUAGGCAAUCAGAGGCGAUGAAGGACGUGCUAAUCUGCGAAAAGCGUCGGUAAGGUGAUAUGAACCGUUAUACCCGACGAUAUCCGAAUGGGGAAACCCAGUAUCCAAUGGAUACUAUCAUUAACUGAAUCCAUAGGUUAAUGAGGCGAACCGGGAGAACUGAAACAUCUCAGUACCCCGAGGAAAAGAAAUCAACCGAGAUUCCCCUAGUAGCGGCGAGCGAACGGGGAGCAGCCCAGAGUCUUAAUCAAUAGCAGUGUCAGGAGAACGGUCUGGAAAGUCCGGCACUAAAGGGUGAUAGCCCCGUAUCUGAAGAUGCUGUUGUUGUGAACUCGACGAGUAGGGCGGGACACGUGUUAUCCUGUCUGAAUAUGGGGGGACCAUCCUCCAAGGCUAAAUACUCCUGAUUGACCGAUAGUGAACCAGUACCGUGAGGGAAAGGCGAAAAGAACCCCGGCGAGGGGAGUGAAAAAGAACCUGAAACCGUGUACGUACAAGCAGUAGGAGCCUCUUUAUGGGGUGACUGCGUACCUUUUGUAUAAUGGGUCAGCGACUUAUAUUCUGUAGCAAGGUUAACCGCAUAGGGGAGCCGUAGGGAAACCGAGUCUUAACUGGGCGAAUGAGUUGCAGGGUAUAGACCCGAAACCCGGUGAUCUAUCCAUGGGCAGGUUGAAGGUUGGGUAACACUAACUGGAGGACCGAACCGACUAAUGUUGAAAAAUUAGCGGAUGACUUGUGGAUGGGGGUGAAAGGCCAAUCAAACCGGGAGAUAGCUGGUUCUCCCCGAAAGCUAUUUAGGUAGCGCCUCGUGAACUCAUCUUCGGGGGUAGAGCACUGUUUCGACUAGGGGGUCAUCCCGACUUACCAACUCGAUGCAAACUGCGAAUACCGAAGAAUGUUAUCACGGGAGACACACGGCGGGUGCUAACGUCCGUCGUGAAGAGGGAAACAACCCAGACCGCCAGCUAAGGUCCCAAAGUCAUGGUUAAGUGGGAAACGAAGUGGGAAGGCUCAGACAGCCAGGAUGUUGGCUUAGAAGCAGCCAUCAUUUAAAGAAAGCGUAAUAGCUCACUGGUCGAGUCGGCCCGCGCGGAAGAUGUAACGGGGCUAAACCAUGCACCGAAGCUGCGGCAGCGACACAAAGUGUUGUUGGGUAGGGGAGCGUUCUGUAAGCCUGCGAAGGUGUACUGUGAGGUAUGCUGGAGGUAUCAGAAGUGCGAAUGCUGACAUAAGUAACGAUAAUGCGGGUGAAAAACCCGCACGCCGGAAGACCAAGGGUUCCUGUCCAACGUUAAUCGGGGCAGGGUGAGUCGACCCCUAAGGCGAGGCUGAAAAGCGUAGUCGAUGGGAAACGGGUUAAUAUUCCCGUACUGGUGGUAACUGCGAUGGGGGAACGGAGAAGGCUAGGUUGUCCGGGCGACGGUCGUCCCGGUUCAAGCAGGUAGGCAGAGUGAUUAGGCAAAUCCGGUCACUUAAUGCUGAGAUGUGAUGACGAACCACCAAGGUGGUGAAGCAAUUGAUGCCCCGCUUCCAGGAAAAGCCUCUAAGCUUCAGGUUACCAACAAUCGUACCCCAAACCGACACAGGUGGUCAGGUAGAGAAUACUCAGGCGCUUGAGAGAACUCGGGUGAAGGAACUAGGCAAAAUGGUGCCGUAACUUCGGGAGAAGGCACGCUGGCGGUAGGUAAAGUCCCUUGCGGACGGCGCUGAAGCCAGUCGAAGAUACCAGCUGGCUGCAACUGUUUAUUAAAAACACAGCACUGUGCAAACACGAAAGUGGACGUAUACGGUGUGACGCCUGCCCGGUGCUGGAAGGUUAAUUGAUGGGGUCAGCCGCAAGGCGAAGCUCCUGAUCGAAGCCCCAGUAAACGGCGGCCGUAACUAUAACGGUCCUAAGGUAGCGAAAUUCCUUGUCGGGUAAGUUCCGACCUGCACGAAUGGCGUAAUGAUGGCCAGGCUGUCUCCACCCGAGACUCAGUGAAAUUGAACUCGCUGUGAAGAUGCAGUGUACCCGCGGCAAGACGGAAAGACCCCGUGAACCUUUACUAUAGCUUGACACUGAACAUUGAGCCUUGAUGUGUAGGAUAGGUGGGAGGCUUUGAAGUGUGGACGCCAGUCUGCAUGGAGCCAACCUUGAAAUACCACCCUUUAACGUUUGAUGUUCUAACCUAGGCCCAUAAACUGGGUCGGGGACCGUGUCUGGUGGGUAGUUUGACUGGGGCGGUCUCCUCCUAAAGAGUAACGGAGGAGCACGAAGGUUGGCUAAGCAUGGUCGGACAUCAUGCGGUUAGUGCAAAGGCAUAAGCCAGCUUGACUGCGAGAGUGACGGCUCGAGCAGGUACGAAAGUAGGUCUUAGUGAUCCGGUGGUUCUGAAUGGAAGGGCCAUCGCUCAACGGAUAAAAGGUACUCCGGGGAUAACAGGCUGAUACCGCCCAAGAGUUCAUAUCGACGGCGGUGUUUGGCACCUCGAUGUCGGCUCAUCACAUCCUGGGGCUGAAGUAGGUCCCAAGGGUAUGGCUGUUCGCCAUUUAAAGUGGUACGCGAGCUGGGUUUAGAACGUCGUGAGACAGUUCGGUCCCUAUCUGCCGUGGGCGUUGGAAGAUUGAGAGGGGUUGCUCCUAGUACGAGAGGACCGGAGUGAACGCACCACUGGUGUUCGGGUUGUCAUGCCAAUGGCAUUGCCCGGUAGCUAAGUGCGGAAGAGAUAACCGCUGAAAGCAUCUAAGCGGGAAACUUGCCUCGAGAUGAGUCUUCCCUGUCGCUUUAAGCGACCUAAAGGAACGUUUAAGACUAAGACGUUGAUAGGCUGGGUGUGUAAGCGUAGCGAUACGUUGAGCUAACCAGUACUAAUGAACCGUGAGGCUUAACCUG